CACGCCCGCCGCCCGCGCGCCUCACAGGUGCCGCCGACGCCCCGCCCGCCCCGCCGCCGCAGCUCCCGGGCGACGCGCAGCUCUGGCCAAAUUCUACCUCGGGUCUUCUCACCACCAGCCUCUCUCGGUUGUUUUCAUCAUAACAAUGUCUGGUAUAUUUUCCCUGGCGGAUGUAAAAACAACGAGUCAAGACCAAAACAAAGGUGCCAGUUCCAUAUUCUUUACACUUCUCAAGAGAAUUCUCAAGCCAAGCAUUUAAGGAAGUUCUGGUAUCAGAUGAUGUCAAAGGCCACCUUCCCAGACACCUCAAAGCUGCUGAGGAGCCUCCUGGAUACACGUAUACCACAUACAUACAUAAUAACUCAUUCUCUCAAGUCCCAUAUAACACCAUCUUGGAUUAUCUGGUUUACUUGUCUGAACCUUCUACUAGCGUGUAAGCCCAGUGGAUCCAUCGCUUGACUGUGCAGCCCUAGCAGAGUGGAUGGCAAAUGGUAAACACUCAAAUAAAUAUUGACUGAAAAGCCGAGUAUCUGCACACACAUUAAGACAUACCCUGUAUUCUUUCUUUGGUUUCUUCUUUGAGGGGUCUUUACAAAGGAUGUGUUAAGGCAUAAUCCAUGUCCUCUAGGACUACUAAUUAAAGUCACACCAGGGAGUAGAGACUUAUCCACAAGAAAAAAGAUGGAGCAAUACACCAAAUUUAUUAAUAACAUGUUAAAUGGAACAUGAUCAAAUGACAAAAACUCCCGUUGAAGGAAGGCAUACUAUGGGUGGUCAAGAAAUUAGUCCUACAUGCUUAAGACUCGUGUCAGUUACAAAAACAGCAAGGCAAAAUACCAAAAGCUAUGGAUAUGAAAAAUAAGUGAGAAAGCCAGAAAAAAAGAGAGAAAUUAAGUCAAUAUACUAAAAGUGAAUACAGACAAAUAGCAUUAGGUAUAGGGACAAGGUUAGUCUGUGAAAGACUGUGCAACUAGCUAAGUAAGUGUUUUAAGGUGCUUUAAAUACAUUAUGCUAAAGACACAGACCAACAAAAAUUUUUUCUCCUUUGAGAGGCAGAAAAAACUAGCUGUAGUUUCUUUACUGUGGUGUCAACAGUUGGCUGGAACAAAUUCUAGUUAUACUGCAAGAACAGAGAAUGUAACUAAAAUAGGAGCAGACUAUAAGGAAAACCUGGAUUUACUCCAACUAUCAGGGCUAUGAUAUUUUAAAACAUCAUUAUAGAACCACAACUAUUAUUCUGGGAGGUCAGAAUAAAUCCCUGAGGAUCAUAAACAGACAAAUGACUCAAGAAUAUUCCAUCAAAUCUGAACAUAGAUGAUUCUAAUGUUAGGAGUGAUUAUAGAAAAGUUAGAAAAAAAUGUGCUACCAAAAAAAGAUAAGAAAUUCAAUUGGAGGAAAUGCAAUAUAGAAACUUAGUGACAUAAACAAUCAGAGAAGACUAGGCACGUGAAUUGAAAAGGUCCUGAUUUUACAGGUAGCUAUGGUGUAGAAGGACGGACGCUGGACCCAGAGUCAAGAGAACCUGAUUUUUAGUCAGGACAAGUCACUUGACUUCCCUUGGCUUCAUUUUCUUCCUAUGAAAAUUGAGGUUAAUAUUAUCAUCUUAAUCACUGGUCUACAGGGAAGAUUUUCUUUAUAUACUUGUGGGUUGUUAUAAUGAGCACAUAGAAGAUUAAAUGAGAUAAGUGAGAAAUGUUUUUUAAAUUGUAAACUGUAAAGGACUGUCAAAAUACAAGGUAUAAGUAGUAGUUCUGUGGACCACCAGCAGAAUAGUACCUAGUAAUCCUGUUCCACCCAGCAGAGGUCCUCAUACUAAGAUAUAUCCCAAGAAUGUAGAAUGAAUAAGACACUCCAGGCAGGGCAGGGCAAUGGAUCUAGGACAGGGCAUUCAGUAAGGAACACAACCAUCAGAAAGCACUCCUUCCCCUGAACUCAAUAGCCAUCACAUCCAAUUUUUAAAAACAAGAUGGAGAAACCUAAAUAUUUUACUAAGCAAUUCAAAGUCAUACAAAGAAAACUAGUUCCCCACAUAUGUCUAAUAAUUUGGGUUAGUUCAACAUUGCAGAAGUGGUUGGUGAAAUCUUUAUUCACUCCCCUUGACUGAACGGGUAGCAGAAAUGUUUUCCAUUAAAAUGCAAAUUCCUCAGGUGGGGUCAUAAUUAAGCCCUCAUGAGCCAUCUCUUGAGCUAUGGGUUCCCAGCUUGCCAGGAUUAGUAGACUUCUUAGUCCAUAGGAAGGGAGAAAGGCCAAGGAAGGACACAAGGCUGAAGUUAUGAGUUAACACUUUAGCAGGGUAUUAACCAUAACGCUUUGCUGGCUGGGAGGCUGGGGAGCCAGCAUGGAGAAGGAAAGCGUAUCUGAAAGAGGAGAUGGCAAACCACUUAGAUGACCUUCUCUCUUAUACUUCACUUUGUAAUUCCAUCUUGGACCAAAAACAAAAACAAAACAACUCUUGAAAACAAAAGCCAAAUUAGUGUGUUCAUAUUGUCUUCAACUAUUCAAAGACUUAAUGACUAAGAUACUGAUGCAUUUUUGUUCAGGUUUGCAGAAAAGCUAAGCAAAAAUUGGCCUAAAUUAGAGCAGGAGGACAUUAGCUAUAAGAUAGGUAUAGAUAGAUAUUCUUCUUUUUUUUUUUAACAUUGGCACCUGAGCUAACAUCUGUUGCCAAUCUUUUUUUUUUUUCUUCUUCUUCUUCUCCUCC